GGACCCGCACAAGUAGUGGAGCAUGUGGUUUAAUUCGAAGAUACGCGCAGAACCUUACCAACACUUGACAUGUUCGUCGCGACUCUAAGAGAUUAGAGUUUUCGGUUCGGCCGGACGAAACACAGGUGCUGCAUGGCUGUCGUCAGCUCGUGUCGUGAGAUGUUGGGUUAAGUCCCGCAACGAGCGCAACCCUCACUUUUAGUUGCCAUCAUUUAGUUGGGCACUCUGAAAGAACUGCCAGUGAUAAGCUGGAGGAAGGUGGGGAUGACGUCAAGUCCUCAUGGCCCUUACGUGUUGGGCUACACACGUGCUACAAUGGUAUCUACAACAGGAUGCGAAACGGCGACGUUAAGCAAAUCCCUAAAAGAUACCUCAGUUCGGAUUGCACUCUGCAACUCGAGUGCAUGAAGCUGGAAUUACUAGUAAUCG
rnacentral:rRNA from 1 species